rnacentral:rRNA from 1 species
GAUGAACGCUGGCGGCGUGCCUAAUACAUGCAAGUCGAGCGAACAGACGAGGAGCUUGCUCCUCUGACGUUAGCGGCGGACGGGUGAGUAACACGUGGAUAACCUACCUAUAAGACUGGGAUAACUUCGGGAAACCGGAGCUAAUACCGGAUAAUAUAUUGAACCGCAUGGUUCAAUAGUGAAAGACGGUUUUGCUGUCACUUAUAGAUGGAUCCGCGCCGCAUUAGCUAGUUGGUAAGGUAACGGCUUACCAAGGCAACGAUGCGUAGCCGACCUGAGAGGGUGAUCGGCCACACUGGAACUGAGACACGGUCCAGACUCCUACGGGAGGAAGCAGUAGGGAAUCUUCCGCAAUGGGCGAAAGCCUGACGGAGCAACGCCGCGUGAGUGAUGAAGGUCUUCGGAUCGUAAAACUCUGUUAUUAGGGAAGAACAAAUGUGUAAGUAACUAUGCACGUCUUGACGGUACCGAAUCAGAAAGCCACGGCUAACUACGUG